GAGUUUGAUCUUGGCUCAGGACGAACGCUGGCGGCGUGCUUAACACAUGCAAGUCGAGCGGAAAGGCCCUUUCGGGGGUACUCGAGCGGCGAACGGGUGAGUAACACGUGAGUAACCUGCCCUGGACUUUGGGAUAACCCUCGGAAACAGGGGCUAAUACCGGAUAUUACUGCUGGCCGCAUGGUUGGUGGUGGAAAGUUUUUCGGUCUGGGAUGGGCUCGCGGCCUAUCAGCUUGUUGGUGGGGUGAUGGCCUACCAAGGCGACGACGGGUAGCCGGCCUGAGAGGGCGACCGGCCACACUGGGACUGAGACACGGCCCAGACUCCUACGGGAGGCAGCAGUGGGGAAUAUUGCACAAUGGGCGGAAGCCUGAUGCAGCGACGCCGCGUGA
rnacentral:rRNA from 1 species